rnacentral:rRNA from 1 species
UACGUAGGGGGCUAGCGUUGUCCGGAAUCAUUGGGCGUAAAGCGCGUGUAGGCGGUUCGGUAAGUCCGCUGUGAAAGUCGGGGGCUCAACCCUCGGAAGCCGGUGGAUACUGUCGGGCUAGAGUACGGAAGAGGCGAGUGGAAUUCCUGGUGUAGCGGUGAAAUGCGCAGAUAUCAGGAAGAACACCCGUGGCGAAAGCGGCUCUCUGGAACGGUACUGACGCUGAGACGCGAAAGCGUGGGGAGCGAACAGG